GUGCGUGAAGAGCAAGAGCGACAGAAAGCAUACGACGACGACGACGACGACGACGACGACGACGACGACGACGACGGCUGAAAAGCGAUCCAAACUGCAGCCAAGCUUUAUUGCAAAAUAAAGAAGUCAAACCAGCUCAAGAGAUGUCCUUCCUUGGUGGUCUGCUGAACCCGAGCGAUGACAACUUUUUGAACAAUUUGGACAUCCCCUCUGUUCAUCAAUCCGCUCCGAUGGAAUUGGACCAGUCACUGCUGCGGAACUGAAUCUUGCAGCUUUAUCACUACAGAGUGAGUGUUCCUGCUUCCGACACCCAAGAGACAGUGAUAUAUCUGGAUGUGGAAAAGACUUCUGACAGAGUGGAGUGGAAUUAUCAAUUUUACGUCCUGGAGAGAUUCGGCUCUGGUAACAAUUGUAUUUCGUGGGUUAAGCUUCUUUAUUCAUCCUCUGAGGCCUCGGUCAGGAAAAAAUAAUAUUCAAUCCCAAUAAUUUGCCUCUAGCAUUCUACGCGACAGGGUUGUCCUCUGUCCGUUGCUUUUUUCUUUUGCCAAUGAGCCUCUGUCAAUAGCGCUUUGCGCUAACCUGCUUAUUACGGGUAUAUGUAGGCACAAUGUGAAGGUGAAAGUCUCUCUCUACGCAGAUGAACUCCUUCUGUAUGUCACAGACAACGCCGUAUCAGUCCCGGCUGCCACGAGUACCCUUCAAGCAUUUGGACAAGUGUGUGGUUACAAAUUGAACUUGGGUAAAAGUGAAA